GAUGAACGCUAGCGGCAGGCUUAAUACAUGCAAGUCGAGGGGCAGCACGGGUAGCAAUAUCUGGUGGCGACCGGCGCACGGGUGCGUAACGCGUAUGCAACCUACCUUCAACUGGGGAAUAGCCCCGAGAAAUCGGGAUUAAUACCCCAUAACAUUCGUUUAAGGCAUCUUAGACGAAUUAAAGUUCAGGCGGUUGAAGAUGGGCAUGCGUGACAUUAGCUAGUUGGUGAGGUAACGGCCCACCAAGGCUACGAUGUCUAGGGGUUCUGAGAGGAUGAUCCCCCACACUGGUACUGAGACACGGACCAGACUCCUACGGGUGGCUG
rnacentral:rRNA from 1 species